GGAAUCUUCCAUCAUAUCUUCUAACUAGUUGUUGCUUGAUGGACAUGCGUCUUGUGACUAUGAGGUGACAAUGAUGUUAAUGACAUCUGAGUGGAAAGAAGAUGAAGCCUAGAUUCCUGAACACAUUCAGACCUGCCACAGCAACCUAGCUCUGAACUCCCUUCAAAAUUUCACUCUUGUGGCCCAGGCUGGAGUGCAAUGGCGUGAUCUCAGCUCACUGCAACUUCUACCUCUCGGAUUCAAGUGAUUCUCCUGCCUCAGCCUCCCAGGUAGCUGGGUUUACAGGAAUGAAAUGGACGUUCUUACUCAUCAUACCAUAAGCAUCCAGGUGAAUGAUUGCUCACUUCUUUCAUCUAAUGAGGAAUUGGCUUUCUUGAGAAUCUCAAUGCAGUGUACCUCCAACCUUAACAGACUGCUGUAAAACACCCUGACCAUUCUUUAGUAUAAGCACUGAAGAAGACAGUAUGUUGACCACGAGGCACCUGGCCUGGCUCAUAGUAUGCCAUCAAGAAAUGCUAAUUUUCUAUUUCCUCUUUUUCAAAGAGUUAUUUCAAGAAAGAAAGGAGAGGAGAGGAUGUUACAAAUUCCAUGUAAAUAAAAUUUGUCACUAAUUC
rnacentral:lncRNA from 1 species